UUUCAGAGCCUAAAGCUGUCGGAAUAAGCAAGAAAAGCAACAAAAGGUCUCUAUAAUCGUCAUUUGAAAUAUUGAACACUGAGUGCCAAACAUUUCAAAAUGUAGUGUAAAUAUGAUACUUUAUUAUUUGUUCUUUUAUGUACGUUCAAAGAUUUUUCUUCACAGUUGUUCUUUCAUACACUAAGGAAAAGAAAGACUUCAAAAGAAUUACAACAACUGAGCUACAGUAAGUGAAGUUGCUUAUUCAGAAUUUGAAAUGCUUCUGUGGCUACAAUGACUUUUCAGCAGCACCUGCUAUUUUUAUGUCUCUCAUUUGGUAUCCAAACUUGGAAACACUUGUCAUCAAAUUUAUGAGGUCUCAUAUCAACCAAAGAAAACUGCAUGAGUGGAUAUAAAAAAUAAUGUGACUCUCCCCUCCAACAGGACAAAAGCAGAUCUUGGGUUUCCUGCAGACAUGGUCCUCCUGCUGUCAGCCUGUACAUCUGCAUGGUCAGUCACAGCAUGAUAGAG